AUAUAAAACGAUAACAACAUGUCGAGUGGUGAAACAAGAAAAAGAAAU
rnacentral:guide_RNA from 1 species